CUCACUCGCUCACAAAACUUUAUUUGAACGCGCUCGCGUAAAAUAUAAAUAAAUAAAUAAACAAAUCACAUGACAUUGUACAUUGUACACAUGACCCAAAUGAAAAAGUUUUUAAUAAUUCACGAGGCUUGAAAGUUUUUUUUCACUGUCACGCUAUGACAUCAUGUAUAAAAUAUAUCUUAGCCUGCAUAUACAGUAUAAAUAUAUAAACUAUAUAUUUAUACUAAACUCGCUAGGCUGAGCUCGUCGCGCAGUGAUGUAUUUAUAAUUUAGACAUCAUCAUCAUCAUCAUCAUCAUCAUCACCAUUCCGUUGUAUAAUAAAGAAGACGGGGGAAAUCAAAGCAGCGAGGGCUCCGAGAGGGACCGAUGGAGAGGUGAGCUCUGCAAUGGAGGACGGCUACUUCCUGUUCCUGCUGGAGUGACCCGCAGGUCUGAGGAGGAGCGAGAGACAGAGCGAGGGAGAGGGAGAGAGAGCACGAGAAACAGAGAGAGAGAGAGUGAGAGAGAGAGAGCGACAGCUAAGGCCAGCCAGUCACUGGAACCACAGGCUGAUGGACGGUUAAGCAGUUGGAGGGGUGCCAGCAGGGCUCAGACAGGCUGGCUUAAUCCUGAAGGAUUCCAUUUCCUGCAACCAGAAAGUCCAAAGGAAUCAAGCAGGCGUGUAGAGAGGAUCAGCGCAGGACAUCUGCACACCAGCCGCAGGUAACAUACACAAGCAGCAGCUCAGUUCACCACACACAAACACACACACAAAGAAGGGACCGCUGGGUCUCCCACAUCUGUUUCAUUACAAACUCUCGCUCUUUUUCACUUUUAACACUCCUCUCUACAGUCUGUUGUGCCAGAGUGCCAGUCCCAGGCUGCUCUGAUGGGUGGGCUAAGAGUGUGUGCGCUGGUCUGUGAAGUUGCCUGUUGCUGGCGAGCAAAGUGUGUGUGUGGUGUGUGUGUGUGUGUGUGUGUGUGUAUGUGGGUGGCUGGGGGUAAUUGACUGGAUGAAGAGGACUGGCUGGCUGGAGCUCUCCUUAAGUCUCUGAAGGUUUGGACUUUAGAGCUAGCGAUUGCAUGAACAUAGGCAAAGGCUGGGCCAAAUGCCAGGCAUGCAUGUGUGUACGUGUGUGAGAGUGUGUCCCCUUCCUCAGAGCAGUGGAGACACCAUCUGCCCGCUUGUCCUACAGGACUGGGCCUGUCCCCGUCGGCCAUCUCAGUCCAGGCUCAGUGGGUGAGGGACUGGGCUCCUUGUGCCAGGAUUUUGGAGGCUGGGGGGUACCAGGCACCGACACUCGUCCCCUCAGUGUCCACCUGCGCCAGGCAGCACACUCACACUGCCAAUGUGGGAAGCCUCUUAGGCCAACACUCUGUCUGUUUCACUCUCAUUCUCUUCCUAUCUGAACUGGGAACACAAGCUCCAACUACACAGUACUCCAAAUCAGGAUGUCCUAAUUAGAUUCAUGUUAUAUGGCACUAACAAGGCCUGCUGUUUAUGUGUUGUGUAGAAAGCACCAAGGAACUGUAUAGCCUUUAAAAUCAGCAUAAAAUACCUUUCCAAUAUUAAAUGGAAGGCAAAGAGCAGUUAGUGGCCUGUUUGUGGUGUGUACUUUAAUAGAUGGUUAACCAUAUACAUCACCAUUAUAAUCAGCUUUGUUUUCUGCUUUUGGUGUAUGGAAUUGUGUGUGUGUGUGUGUGUGUGUGUGUGUGUGUGUGUGUGUGUGUGUGUGUGUGUGUGUGUGUGUGUGUGCAUAUUCAGGUAUGAUUCACUGAAGCUGGUUAAGUAAUAUACCAUUUUUACAUUUUUAAUUACUUUUGUAUUUGAAUUUGCAGGAUAAUGCUUUUUUGAUAGUUUGUUUAUGUUGCAAUACAACACUUAAAAUGUAUAACAACUUGCUACAUUUUUCACAUACUUUUCCUUUGGAUGCAAUGACUUAGUUGACCAGAGCUGAACACACACAGAUUUGCACACUACUGUAAUACACUAGAUACUGUAUGGACAAAAUAAAUAAUUCUGCUGAAAUUAUUGAAGAUUACACCGAUUUUUUUUUAUUAUUACGCCUAUCUCUAGAUUGUUUAUUUUCAGUAACUGUUUUAUCCUGCUGAAAGUCACAGUGGAGCCAAAGCCUGUCCAGGGUAAGAAGAAACACACUCUUAUCCAGAGAAAUACACGUCAAAUGGAAGCAUACACAACAUACACAUAUUCAUGCAUUCAUUUACUCCUAGGGAUGAAACCAGAGAACCCAGUGAAAACCCACAUGUGGAUACAUGGAAAACAUGCACAGACAGUACGGACUUGUGAGGCAGCAAUGAUAACUGAGUUGGCCAGUUAAAAAAAAUAUUUAAAUAAAUGUUCAAUAAUUUAAAAAAAUUGUAAUGUGAUUUGUAAUUUAAUUUAGUAUCCAUCACUAAUAAACAUGCAUCACAUCACAUAUGGAACAAAGGGACAUUAGCUUUAUAUGGUUGCAGAUAAUUGUGGAUAUUUUUUAUUUCUCUAUAUACGUACAACUUCCUGACGUUUCUCAUUAAGUGAUAUGCAUUUCCUGAAAUAAACAUUUUCAGAUUUUUUUCGCAUAUUUGGGACAAUAUGCGUCAUGUGACAUCAUCACAACACGCAUUCAGCCAAAGCCCUCUUUGAUUCACGUGUGUCGAACAGGAGUACAGCUAGAAGGUCUCAUUUACCAACCAACAUCAUUGCGAAAGACAUUUUUGCAAUUUCUUGUACUAGCAAUUUUGCCAAUUCAAGUAGAUUUCUGCAAAAAAAAAAAAAAGCACAAACAUCUCCACAAAUUGCACCACAAAUUUUGAAAAAGCCACCGCAAAAUCAAGCAUUUUUGGCUGCAAUAAUCACAAAAAAAAAAAACCUCUGCAAAAUCAUGUACAGGCUGAUUAGAAGCUAAAUGUUUAUAAAUAGAUACAGAACCAGGACAUGACAGAAGCAGGAUGUAGCUGUGCUGUGUAGGUGAAGCUUUGUCUCACCUGCUCUCGUCUGUGUGUCCAUACCUCUGUGUGGGCUGCAGUGGCCUCUGACUCAUUUAAGUGUGCUUUCCAAGAGAAAUUUCAGUUUUGUUUUUCUGUGUAGAACCUUGGAAAGACCCUUAGCAGAGCCUUAUUUUAGAUCCAUCGUGUCCAGGGCACAGGGAGUCGCAUGGCACACUGUCAACAAAUAUUUAUUCUGAGCUUUGAGAGUGAAACUUUCUGGGUUCUCUGGAAAGAUUGGUGGCGAGAGUCAGCCUGCAGAGUUUUGACCUUGCAUAGGCCUUUCUAGUUGACUGCAUCGAUCUCACAUACAUAUACACAUACAUGCACAAAGAGAGAGAAAUGCAGCUGAGUAUUGAAAAUACCCCUGCCUGUUGUGAAUCUUUUAAGUGAAGCAGUGUGAGUGGAGGCUGUAGGAGGUGGCCGGGCUCUUGGCAGGGCAACCAGGGUGAAGUCUUUGUGGCUGCCAGUCUGGAGAGGUCCAUCUCUGCCAGGCAGACGUGGAGGAAUCAGGCAACUGGCUGUGUGACACAAGAAAGAUUGAGCUGUCAGCUUACAGCCUGGUCCAAAUACAGCCCCCCUUAAAUAUAUCUGAGCAAACGCACUGGAUGAUGGCCAUGCAAGCACGGCUCUGAGUUUGGCCUCUUUAGGAGUGCUGGGUAAGCUUUUGCAAGAGUGUGCUCUUUUCCACUGGAGAUGAGCUAUUGUUUCUGGCUCCAAUUUUUGGAGCAUCUGCCAGAGGAACCUUCUAUAAUGGCAGCUAGGGAGGUGAUGAAAAGAUUAGUAUCCCCGGCUUUUUUUUUGUUGCCCUUUACUUUAUAAGAUAGAAGAUGAUCUACCACAUAUGUCUGCCCUGAGAAGCAUCAAAUCUCUAAAGGCUUGAAAAGCUAAAGACUAUAGAAGGUAAGUUAAACUUUGCCAUAGAUAGUCUACUCGUAUAUCUUUUGUUAUCAAGGUUACUCUGGUUUUUCUCAGUUGACUAGGAAUGCUGUUGUUAUUGAAAGGAUGUUUUGAGCCUCCCAAAGGAAGCACUGCCCUGCUGAAUGACCUCUGACCCUUGAGCUCAGUGGUCCAGGGUGAAGUGUUAAUCCAGCUGUGGGACCUGUGAGUUUAUGACAACUGGGAUUGUUUGGAUUUAAAUAGGCUUUAUUUUCCAUCCUCUUUCUUAUGUCGUUCCUUUACAGUCAAGAACAAUGUCAGACCCAUGUGCUGGGUGUCAGAUCUGAAUGUCCACAUUGUGUGAGUUGGUGUGGACACACCAUACACACCAGCCAUAUUGUGCAUGUAGGAAAAAACACAAUCCUUUUAAUCACUUCGACUUCAGAGAUACAAUACGUUCCCACUCCCUAGAACUAGAAGUUAUGUAGCCUUUAGAGCAGACAUACUUUGAUCUCACUUCCUGCUUUUCAGUGAAAACUAAACCUUUACAUAUGCCUUUAAUCAGUAUUGCCAACUUAGUGGCUUUAUUGUUAGAUAUUAGACCUCAUUAGUGAACUUAUUCUGAAAAGUUUAAAUGAAAUUGAAACAAAUUUAGCGACUUUUGGAUAUUAGUGAUGGUCCUGCACUUUACAUGACUCUCCAGCUCACAUCACAGCUGCUGUUAUACAAGUUGAGAGGGAGCAGGUUUAGUUGACUUAUGACCAGUGUGUACAGCCUGACUGAGGUGCCGGAUGACCGAUCACUGAUCAACACUGUUCCCAACAACCAAUCACUGAUCACCUCUGUUCCCAACGAGCAAUCACUGAUCACCAUUGUUCCUAAUGACUAAUCACUGAUCACUAUUGUUUGUCCUACCAAAGUUCUUCUUUGAUGUUUGCUUUAAACUUUUGUUAAAAACAAAGUUAAUAAAAGCAAGUUAUUCCACCUGUAACCAUUUCCUAACUACUCACUAUUUGUGUUUUCAGAAAAUAUUCCUUCUUCAUAUAACCCAUUCUGCAAAUGAUCAUGACAAAUCAAUGUUGUUGUUCUUUCAGCUGGUCCUAUUAGGGGUCACCCCAGUAGAUCAUUGGUCCAUACAUUUAAUUUGGCACUGGUUUUUAUGCCAUUUUAUCCAUUCAUGGGACCGACACUGAGUGCAACCCAGUGGCUGAGCUGGUUUCCUGUCCAGGAAUCAAACCUGGGAUGGGAUCCUUAGCCGCUGGACCACCAUAGUGUGAUGAAUCAGUGUAUACAGUAUAUGCAAAUUUUGUAUGAUGAUAUAUUGUGACUUUUUUGCCACUUUUUGAGCAUGCGUUCUCUAUGUUAUUAUUUAUUUUUUUUGAUGGAUUGUUUGUUUUUAAAUAUCCACAAUAAUCUUAUUACAAGCAUCUUUCACUGGUUUCUCUUGUAUCAAGUUCAUCAUCAAGGACCAGUACAAAUAUAAAUAAAUUGUUCUCAUCAUAUAAUUUUUCAGUCAUAAUUUACACUAAUUAUAAUGUAAAUCAUAAUACAAAGUCAUUGCCCUUAUAUAUAAUGUUCAUGACUACUUAAUGAGUUGUGUCUGUCAAUCACAGCUGACUAUCACACCUUUCAAGAAUGCAGGCAUAGACCUGGUCCAGGAGGAAGCCACAGCUCAGUAGGAAGUGUAUGCUGGAGCUUAGGAAUGUGUAAUACAUUUUUCAGCCAGCUGCUCACGAUGGAGGUCUGUUCUAUUAUAUUUUCAUUAUUCCAUAUGAACAUUAUUAAUGUGAGAUUAAGGAGCAACUAACCUGCCAAUAGGAGAGCUACUUUUUUAUGCUUGAGUAGUAGGUUUGAUUAAAGGCUAUUCUGGGAUCUGAAGAGGGAAUAAUUUGAGCACCCUAAUGCCAAGGCAUGAACGUUAAACACGAGCAGGAGCGUUUCAUGUUUCUCCAUGACACACUGCAAUCUAAUGGGCCAAAGCCAAGAUCCUAUAGAUUUUCAAGGUUCUCGCCUUUCAUUUGGAUGGCUGUGAAAUGUCUUGCCAUGUAUAUGUAUGGAAUGGACAGCUGCCAAAUACAGAGGACAAAAUUCGGAGUUAACUGCUAGAGAGGCCUUGUCACAAUUUAUAAACUUGAAAAGUUUCAGAGGGGUGCCCUACCGAGCACUAGGCAGCCCCACAUGCACAGAUCGCCAGUGUGCAUGGCCUGGGAGAGGAGUGGAAUGCACCAUAUUAACCAACUCUCCUAGGCGCUCUCUAAACACACUUCCAUGUCCAUGCUAUUAUCCAUUUUUCACGUCCAAUUGCUCUGUUAUGGUAAUCGUCAGAAGCGCACCAUGGCGUAAUUACUUACAGCUGACUUAAGAAAGGAAUAUUCCACCCCCCCAUGGUCUGACUUCUGGCUUUUUUUUCUGCACUAUUAACCCAUUCCUGUUUAUUAAUGCCUUCCUGCUAAUGCGCAGAGGCCACUUUGUGAGAUCCAUCAUCAUGCGGGGCCUAUUAGCAAAAUGGCCCCACUAUUGGGCAAUAUUUCUCUGUCCUGCAGCUCUCUUGCUGAUCUUCUCUCUGCUUUGGGGUUUAAUUACUUCAGUAAAUGUACUCCAGUCACAUUAACCUCUUGUUGCUUCAUGUUACUAAAUGUCCUGUUGUGUGCAGCUAGGAGCAGAGCUUCUUUUCCUGGUAAAACCACUUCAGCUCUGGAUUCUUCUUAGAACAAAGAUCUUCAAAGAUCAACACUUUGGUGUUGUACAUCAUUUACAAGAAGGCAUAUGGCGAACACAUCAUGGAAUGUAAUAGAUUGAAAGCCAUUACGGUUAUGAUUGCCAGGUUAAACGUUACAUGUUUUAAAUCAUGCAAGACACAAUAAAGUGACAAAGCAAUUUAUGUUCUCAUUGAACAGCCUGUAUGUGCAUGCCAUUGCAUUAAAUUUUGCAAAUUAAGUUAAUUCCAAGUUUUUGUACGGCCUUUUGCUGAAAUAUCACUCCGUUUCUCACUUGAGGCUCUGCUCUUCAACUUUCCUGUCCUCAAUCAUAACCUGAACAAUUUUGUAUUCACACCAAUUUGUCAUUUAGAGCAAUGCUAAUAAGCCCAGAUUUUAUUGCAUUAAGUAUUGUCAGUUCCACUGUGCAAAGCAAAGCCUAGAUCCAGUGGCGCUCCUUUGAUUCCCAGUCAUAUACAUCACCUUGCAAUUACUGGACCUGGUCUGGAAACUGUCAAGCAUGACUGCAGCGUUAUUGGAAUUAUUGCAAUUACACACAGGUAAUUGACCUGCUAUCAGUGAAGAUGUUAAAUUGUGCCUCAGUGGUGUGAGUCCAUGUUGAGCUCAUUUCAUUCACCAUUCCUCUCUCUCUCUCUCUCUCUCUCUCUCUCUCUCUCUCUCUCUCUAUCGCACACACACAACACACACACACACACAUAUUGCUUCAGUACACGAGCAGCAGUGGGAGGGAAUAGAGUUAUUGCAUUAUUCCUAUACUCUGCACACCAAUAAAACACCACUGUAAUUCAAACUGUGUGGAAACGAACGUCUUUUUCAGUGAUGUCAACUCACCGUCUUUCUGUAAUCCUACUUGCCUGCUUGCUUCAUUAAAGGGUUUGUUUGCACCGCUAAACCCCAUAGAGAGGUAGAUUCGAAGAAAUAAAGCCCACAAAGUUGGCCUUGCACUCUAGAGCAUUAUAACAGGCCCAG
ensembl:lncRNA